rnacentral:rRNA from 1 species
GGAGGAAAAGAAACUAACAAGGAUUCCCCUAGUAACGGCGAGUGAAGCGGGAAGAGCUCAAAUUUGUAAUCUGGCACUUUCAGUGUCCGAGUUGUAAUCUCGAGAAGUGUUUUCCGCGCCGGACCGCAUACAAGUCUGUUGGAAUACAGCGUCAUAGUGGUGAGAGCCCCGUAACUGAUGCGGAUGCCCGGUGCUUUGUGAUACACUUUCGAAGAGUCGAGUUGUUUGGGAAUGCAGCUCAAAUUGGGUGGUAAAUUCCAUCUAAAGCUAAAUAUUGGCGAGAGACCGAUAGCGAACAAGUACCGUGAGGGAAAGAUGAAAAGCACUUUGGAAAGAGAGUUAACAGUACGUGAAAUUGUUGGAAGGGAAACGCUUGAAGUCAGACUUGCUAUUCGGAAUUCAGCCGCAAGGUGUACUUUUCGAUUUGCAGGCCAGCAUCAGUUUUUGGGGGUGGAAAAGGGUGGAGAGAAGGUAGCAACCCCGGUUGUGUUAUAGCUCUUCACUGGAUUCAUCUUCGGGGACUGAGGAUCGCAGCGCGCUUUAUUGCAAGGCUCUCGAGCUUUUCGCGCUUAGGAUGCUGGUGGAAUGGCUUUAAACGACCCGUCUU